rnacentral:rRNA from 1 species
UGUUGGUGAUUUAACGCCGUGGGUACACCCGAUCCCAUUCCGAACUCGGCAGUUAAGCGCGGUAGUGGCGAUGGUACCCGGCGCUUUGCGCGGAAGCGGCAAGGCAAGUUCGUCAAGUU